AUUUUCUUUGGUUAUCUAGCUGUAUGAGUAUUGUUUAAUAACAUCAUAAAGCUAGGUUACCGGAGUUAAAACCAGUUUCCAUACAUCCUCCAUUUUAUCGGAUCAUCAAUUAUUGGCGACUUGGUGAGGCAGACUUACACGAUACACUUGUAUUUCUUUUAUAUGGAAAUUAAUAUUGAUAGCGACUGCGGGAUUCGUAUCAAAACUUUUGGGACGAACUCGCAUCAAUAUUGCAAUAUAAUACAAUUACUCAAUAUGACUAUUGACAGGUCUGCAUUAAUUUCGACACUGCAUUACUUUGCUAUUAACCUCGUCCACAUAUCGGGGUUUUCUAAACCACACCAUUUACAUGUUAUGAUGUCACGGUACUAUAUAAUACAGUAGGUAUCCCACGCAUUAUCAUAUUUAUCAAAAACAGUAAUUAGUUAAAAAAAUAUCUUAAUAAAACUGUAGGUGUUGGAAACCACUAACACAUUUUGAAAGUUUAUUUAAACGCUAUUUGUUUAGUUAAUUAUUACAAUCUAUUUUUAGUGAAGUUGCAUCAUUUCAAAUUCUCUGGAAAAAUUUUGUUGCUCAAAUUCCCACUAAUUUUAUCAAAUCGAAAUUGUUGAUGGACGACCGAACGCCGCAACCGGGGCCAUUUUAGCCAUCUUUGAAUCCGGGUUGAUUGCUUUUAUUAAUUUGCAUUUACAUCUGCUUAAUCCAACUUUGACUUUUAACGAAUCUAUCUGAUGUGGUGCAACGCGUAGCUUUAUUGCGUCAUGAAAUCGACGAAAACGUUAAAUGAUUGGACGAAAUCACAGUUUGCCGGAAACAAAUACAAUUUUUAUGUAUUGGCCGGUUUCGAAAGGCAUCCGCUACUGCUAUUAGCACAAAUUAAUCGAAAGCAUGAUUUUAGCGCUAACAACGUCACAUAGCCACGUCUCAGAAUUGGGAUUUAUUUUUGCCAGGUGGAACCACCACUAACACGAAGAAGACAAGACAAGUGCCCAAUUCUGCGUGAAAAUGAAAAUUGCUGCGUGUUUUUAAACCCAUAUUCAACACAAGCUAACAAAUAUUGUAUCUAUUAUACCUUAUUAAUUAUUACUUAUUCACUACAUUCGGUGUUCGGUAAAAAUGCCGCAAGCUAUACAUAAUUAAUUUCAUUGUUCAUUAUCCGAUUUUAAUAAAUAAGUUGUAUGCCAAAUACCUUCAGGGAUAAUAAAUAAAACUAAAUCACUACAAACUGGA